AUUUAUAUAAUAUAAAUAAGUAUAAUUAAUUUCCAAUUAAAAUGUCAUAAAUUAUGUAUAAAUA
rnacentral:tRNA from 1 species